AGGAACAAAAUGCAUCUGAUUUUUUUAAAAACAGGACUAACUUUGGCUAUGCAUCCGGCAGUGAACUGACCGUCAAAGGCUGUGGUUCUCUAACUAAAGAUUAUCAACAGGAUGGGGAAGAACUCUCUGAAGUAACGAGAAGGCACGUUCACAGGUCAUAAUGAAGAACUUAGACUCUUCAACCUUCCAGCACAAACUCUUCAGCUUUCUGGCAUGGAUUCGCUUUGAUUAGCUCUGCAAUGAGCUUCCAGGCUUCGAUGUUCAACUGCUGCUGGAUCCUCCGGCACUCCAGUGUGCAGACAACCACUGGAUUCUUCCACUUCUGAUUCCACAGAUGGCGACUGGGACUCUUCUCCCUUCUGACUCUGUAAUUCUACUGAAUAAAUCA